rnacentral:rRNA from 1 species
CAAUAGCGUAUAUUAAAGUUGUUGCAGUUAAAAAGCUCGUAGUUGGAUUUCUGGUCGGAAGCUCCUGUCCUCUGAUGAGCGUACAAGUGCGUCCUACCAUCCUUCUGUUAACCUUUAAGGCUUUCGCAGCUUUCUAGGGGCUCAGAUAUUUUACCUUGAGAAAAUUAGAGUGUUUCAGGCAGGCUAGCGCCGGAAUACAUUAGCAUGGAAUAAUGGAAUAGGACUUUUGCCUCUUCUGUUGGUCAUGAGGCUCGAGUAAUGAUUAAUAGGGAUAGUUGGGGGCAUUAGUACUUAACUGUCAGAGGUGAAAUUCUCGGAUUUGUUAAAGACUAACUUAUGCGAAAGCAUUUGCCAAGGAUGUUUUCAUUAA